rnacentral:rRNA from 3 species
CCCUGGCUCAGAUUGAACGCUGGCGGCAUGCCUUACACAUGCAAGUCGAACGGCAGCACGGGAGCAAUCCUGGUGGCGAGUGGCGAACGGGUGAGUAAUACAUCGGAACGUGCCCAAUCGUGGGGGAUAACGCAGCGAAAGCUGUGCUAAUACCGCAUAAGAUCUACGGAUGAAAGCAGGGGAUCGCAAGACCUUGCGCGAAUGGAGCGGCCGAUGGCAGAUUAGGUAGUUGGUGAGGUAAAGGCUCACCAAGCCUUCGAUCUGUAGCUGGUCUGAGAGGACGACCAGCCACACUGGGACUGAGACACGGCCCAGACUCCUACGGGAGGCAGCAGUGGGGAAUUUUGGACAAUGGGCGCAAGCCUGAUCCAGCCAUGCCGCGUGCAGGAUGAAGGCCUUCGGGUUGUAAACUGCUUUUGUACGGAACGAAACGGUCCCUUCUAAUACAGGGGGCUAAUGACGGUACCGUAAGAAUAAGCACCGGCUAACUA